UACAGAGGGUGCAAGCGUUAAUCGGAAUUACUGGGCGUAAAGCGUGCGUAGACGGUUAUGUAAGUCAGAUGUGAAAGCCCCGGGCUUAACCUGGGAAUGGCAUUUGAGACUGCAUAGCUAGGGUGCGGAAGAGGGAAGCGGAAUUUCCGGUGUAGCGGUGAAAUGCGUAGAUAUCGGAAGGAACACCAGUGGCGAAGGCGACUACCUGGCCUGUUCUUGACGCUGAGGCGCGAAAGCUAGGGGAGCAAACGGG
rnacentral:rRNA from 1 species